GUGGAUGGGCAUGUUUUCUAGUAGCACGCUUUUUUUAAAGUUUCGUGACUAGAUUACAUGCUCGUCUAUA
rnacentral:pre_miRNA from 1 species